CAAAUAUGCGCCUCCCUAAUGCGAUCCUUUGUGCCAAAUUUCACUUUAAUAUCUUUAUUUAUGGCUUAGUUAUGACACUUUAUAUGUUUUCGGCUUUCGCCAUUUUGUGGGCGUGGCAGUGGGCCGAUUUUGCCCAUCUUCGAACUUAACCUUCUUAUAGCCAAGGAUUACGUGCACCAAGUUUCAUCAUGAUAUCUCAAUUUUUACUCAAGUUACAGCUUGCACGGACGGACGGACGGAUUUCAACUCUACUCGUCACCCUGAUCACUUUGGUAUAUAUAACCCUAUAUCUGACUCUUUUAGUUUUACGACUUACAAACAACCUAGCGCUAUUCCCACGUUAACCACUGCUCCUGUAGGGGCUAAUUAACGGCAGGAAAGAAUGGAGUCUCGUUCUAAAAAAGAAAUGUUAACAACAAUGUAAGUACUUCAAGAAGUAAUUCAAGAAGACGAGGUUGGAGAGGCACCUCAAACUGCAGGAGAGGAGGUCAUCGAUGAGACAGACGAGAAAAUACUGCAUUUGGAAACAGAAAUACAAAGACUGAAUAGUGUUGUUAGAACUUUGAAGAAGUGCAAAAACGAGCAGUCAGCAGAAAUUAAACGCCUUAUAAUUUCCAUUAGAACCUCGGAAUUCCACAGAAAUAAUUUGGAGCAAAAGCUUAGCUGCAUUUUCAACAACGGCCAGAUUGAAAAAAAAAUUAAGGUGUGGAAAUAAACGGCGGAAUUGGAAAGAAGAAGACAUAGCUAAGUCGAUCACGCUAUAUUCAACUAGCCCGAAAGCGUACAAACUUUUACGGAGAAACAACUUUCCUCUUCCAGGUGUGCGCACUCUGCAGUGGUGGUCAAAGAAAAUUGACGUAGCUCCAGGUGUCAUAGAGCCGGUGAUGAAACUGUUGAAGGCAGCAACUGAGCUAACACAAGCGCAAAAAAAUUUUGUACUCAGUUUUGAUGAAAUGAAGAUCAGAAAGAGUUACUGUUACGAAAGAUUCACUGAUUCGACAUUGCGUCCUGUUAACUACGUUCAGGUUGCAAUGAUAAGAGGUUUGAUAAGUAAAUGGAAACAGCCUGUAUUCUUCGAAUAUGACGGCAAAAUGACGAAGGAAGUACUGUUUAGCAUUUUGUCAGGCGUUAAAAAGUGCGGUUACUAUAUUGUUGCCAUUGUAAGCGAUUUGGGUGGAUCAAAUAGAGCAUCAUAUAAUGGUAUUGAAAUUAAUGUGGAAUAACCUUGGUUUUUACACGACGGAGACAGGAUUGUGGUUUUUGCUGAUGUCCCCCAUUUAAUAAAACUACAGAGAAAUCAUUUUUUGGAUAAGGGCUUUACUAUCAAUGGAAAAAUUGUUAGAAAAGACAUUAUUCUGAAGCUGCUCUCGCUUACCUCCAACGACCUGUCCAUCACGCACAAAAUUUCUCAGAAGCAUUUGUCUGUAAUACGAGCAGAAAGGUAAUAUUUUUCAACGUGUGUCAGUUGAUCUAAAUUCCACUGACCCAAUUGAAAAAAAUGAUGACUUGGAGAUUCUGAACAACGACGGACUUGAGAAUUUGGCAGGGUACAUCUGCCACAAACUCGGUAAAGACAACCCCGAAAUUUGGGCCAAUUUAGAAAAUUGUUCGUCUUAUACUUGGAUGGAUCACCUUUCUGAAGGAGGACUCUCAAAACCAACAGAUAUGUUGAUGGAGCAUAUGAGAGCCUUGCAAGCAGUAUUUGACGAUGUAAAUGGUACAGAUUUGCAUAUAUGUAUGUACAAAUUACGUCCAGAAACACUUAGAUUUAAGUAAUUUUGUAAAUUGUAGCUCGAAAGUAAAAGAAUUGUGUUUCAGAGCAAGAAUGUAUGUUAGGAUUCGUUCCUUAAAUAAAAACUUAAUCGAACAUAUGUGUAGCAAAAAAAGAAAAUUGAAUAAGACAAUAAAUUGAUACUUGGUCACAAAAUA